GAUGAACGCUGGCGGCGUGCUUAACACAUGCAAGUCGAACGGUGAAGCCAAGCUUGCUUGGUGGAUCAGUGGCGAACGGGUGAGUAACACGUGAGCAACCUGCCCUGGACUCUGGGAUAAGCGCUGGAAACGGCGUCUAAUACUGGAUAUGAGCUCUCAUCGCAUGGUGGGGGUUGGAAAGAUUUUUCGGUCUGGGAUGGGCUCGCGGCCUAUCAGCUUGUUGGUGAGGUAAUGGCUCACCAAGGCGUCGACGGGUAGCCGGCCUGAGAGGGUGACCGGCCACACUGGGACUGAGACACGGCCCAGACUCCUACGGGAGGCAGCAGUGGGGAAUAUUGCACAAUGGGCGGAAGCCUGAUGCAGCAACGCCGCGUGAGGGAUGACGGCCUUCGGGUUGUAAACCUCUUUUAGCAGGGAAGAAGCGAGAGUGACGGUACCUGCAGAAAAAGCGCCGGCUAACUACGUGCCAGCAGCCGCCGUAAGAC
rnacentral:rRNA from 1 species